GGAGCGUGGCUUAGUGGAAAGAGCACGGGCUUGGGAGUCAGGGGACCUGGGUUCUAAUCCCAGCUCCUCCA
rnacentral:tRNA from 1 species